rnacentral:lncRNA from 1 species
GGGCCCGCGCGCGCGCUCUGGAGACUCCUGCGGUCUCCCUAGCUGUUUCUUGAAGCUCUGCAUAAGCCUCGCCCGCGGCCGCCGGGUUGCGUCCGCACUUCUGCGCGCUGGCCCCUCCCUUGCUCCUCUCCCUAGCAGUCUCCAGGGUUUUACCGGGAGGACCUAGGCAACGGCCUGAGACUCCGAGACUCUAUGUUGAAGAUGCCUGGACUAACCUACUGAAGAUACGUGGUUUUACCAACAGCCAGCACCAAUAGGAAGAUAUGAAUGAAGCCAUCUGAGACCAGCCAUCUGGCAGCCAAACUGCCAACUGACUGCAAAUGCAUGAAUGAUCCCACUGACACCACGUAGAGCACAAAUGAGUUGCCUCCACUGAGCCCAGCCCAAAUUGUUAUCCUAUAAAAUCAUAAAAACAUAAACAGUUGUUUUAAGUCACUAAGUUUUGGAUAGUUUGUUAUACAACAAAAGCUAGCUGAAACAAAUGUAUUAGCUAGAGCAGCUGUGAAUGGCACUAUUUGCUUAGUUGAUUGGCUGAAAUUUGGACUCACUGGUAGGUUACAUUUAAUGGUGUUGAGUUGCCAGAAUUUCUCUGGAAUAAUGUAUAGGAAGGAUUCUAAUGGCCUAAGCCAUUAGAAUCUCUAAGGAGAUAGAAAUAAAGGAG